GCGGGCGUGGCCAAGUGGUAAGGCAAAGGACUGUGACUCCUUCACUCGCGGGUUCGAGUCCCGUCGUUCGCC
rnacentral:tRNA from 2 species